rnacentral:lncRNA from 1 species
AGCAUGCUGCAGGGAAGUGCGGGUGGAGGGAGGCAUCCGAAAGGAGGAGCUAAGAGAUGUAAAAGAAGAAAACAGGCAGGUGAAAAAAACAUUCAGAGUUACGCUGUGUUUUCUCCAUAAUUUAGGUUUCUCUUUGCACAUGAGAUUCAGUAGACCGAUCCUUAAGGAGCGUGAACUUAUUUUUUACGGGAUGUCAAAGAGGAACAAAGAGGACCUUCCAAGAUAUCUUCUGCUGAAUAUGUCAUUCAAGAUUCUUCCUAGCCAGACCUUUGCUAAUUGGAGAUAAACGUCUCUAGUACAUAGUUUAUAUUUUAGUUGUGGGUCCUGCUAGUUGUGAUAUGUGGGAUGCCGCCUCAGCAUGGCCUAAUGAACGGUGCCAUGUCCACGACCAGGAUCCGAACCGGCGAAACCCUGGGCCACUGAAGCGGAGCAUGUGAACUUAACCCCUCGCCCA